GGGACACACUUUCUGGGCACUGCUGGCCAGUCCCAAAAUGGAACAUAAGGAAGUGGUUCUUCUACUUCUUUUAUUUCUGAAAUCAGGUCAAGGAGAGCCUCUGGAUGACUAUGUGAAUACCCAGGGGGCUUCACUGUUCAGUGUCACUAAGAAGCAGCUGGGGGCAGGAAGUAUAGAAGAAUGUGCAGCCAAAUGUGAGGAGGACAAAGAAUUCACCUGCAGGGCAUUCCAAUAUCACAGUAAAGAGCAACAAUGUGUGAUAAUGGCUGAAAACAGGAAGUCCUCCAUAAUCAUUAGGAUGAGAGAUGUAGUUUUAUUUGAAAAGAAAGUGUAUCUCUCAGAGUGCAAGACUGGGAAUGGAAAGAACUACAGAGGGACGAUGUCCAAAACAAAAAAUGGCAUCACCUGUCAAAAAUGGAGUUCCACUUCUCCCCACAGACCUAGAUUCUCACCUGCUACACACCCCUCAGAGGGACUGGAGGAGAACUACUGCAGGAAUCCAGACAAUGAUCCACAGGGGCCCUGGUGCUAUACUACUGAUCCAGAAAAGAGAUAUGACUACUGCGACAUUCUUGAGUGUGAAGGUCAGGAGUGGCUCUAGAAAAUGUUUUCAUUUCUGCCCUUCACCUGUAAAAUAAUUUGUUGUAAAGCCCCUUCCCACAGGGAUGUUAUUAAUAAUUGAGUAACGUAUUCACCUCUUGGAAAGAAGCAAAACCCCAGAAUUAACCUGAAUUUUUUUUUUUUUUCUGAGACAGAGUUUUGCUCUCGUUGCCCAGGCUAGAGUGCAACGGUGCAAUCUCAGCUCACCACAGCCUCCGCCUCCGGGUUCAAGAGAUU
rnacentral:sRNA from 1 species